UACGUAGGGUGCAAGCGUUAAUCGGAAUUACUGGGCGUAAAGCGUGCGCAGGCGGUUUUGUAAGUCUGUCGUGAAAGCCCCGGGCUCAACCUGGGAAUUGCGAUGGAGACUGCAAGGCUUGAAUCUGGCAGAGGGGGGUAGAAUUCCACGUGUAGCAGUGAAAUGCGUAGAGAUGUGGAGGAACACCGAUGGCGAAGGCAAUCCCCUGGGCCUGUACUGACGCUCAUGCACGAAAGCGUGGGGAGCAAACAGG
rnacentral:rRNA from 1 species